AAUGGCAGUUGGAGAGAACGGAACAUCCUAAGGUCCCAGCUCCCACAGCACUGGCAUAGCGCAUGGCGUUGCUAUGGAAACUGCCUUGCAAAGCCUGCUGGGAUCAUGCCUCGCUGGGCCUGCCCCUCGCCCAGAGUCAGGCUCCAAGGUUAGCUGAUAUCUCACACUUCCAAGUUCAGCCAUGUUCUCAAGGCUGCUGUCCACCCAUUCUCCAGAUGCAAACGUUGAGGUCGUUCACUUCUCGAGAGAGCACCAGCCUCCAGCACCGAAGGUUCAUCACACAGCAAUUCUCUCAGGAAUUCCCCUCUGGCCCCAGCCCCCCAGGCCAGGUCAGCCCUCCCCGGACUCCUCUGCCUUCCUGCCUCCAGCCUCUCCCUGCCAGCCCAUCCGAGCCUGCUGCUUCCUUCCUCUCCUUAAAGCACCAGUUUUAUUAGGUGUCAGCGUUCUGCUCCCUCCCGAACCUUCCCUGGCUCCCACGCCUGAGGAGGUGCAGCUCAAACCCCACAG